UACGGAGGGGGCUAGCGUUGUUCGGAAUUACUGGGCGUAAAGCGCGCGUAGGCGGACCUGCAAGUCGGGGGUGAAAGCCCGAGGCUCAACCUCGGAACUGCCUUCGAUACUGCGGGUCUCGAGUCCGGGAGAGGUGAGUGGAAUUCCUAGUGUAGAGGUGAAAUGCGUAGAUAUCUGGAGGAACACCGGUGGCGAAGGCGGCAUCCUGGACCAACACUGACACUGAGGAGCGAAAGCCAGGGGAGCAAACGGG
rnacentral:rRNA from 1 species